UAGGGAAUCUUCGGCAAUGGACGAAAGUCUGACCGAGCAACGCCGCGUGAGUGAAGAAGGUUUUCGGAUUGUAAAACUCUGUUGUUAGAGAAGAACAAGGACGUUAGUAACUGAACGUCCCCUGACGGUAUCUAACCAGAAAGCCACGGCUAACUACGUGCCAGCAGCCGCGGUAAUACGUAGGUGGCAAGCGUUGUCCGGAUUUAUUGGGCGUAAAGCGAGCGCAGGCGGUUUCUUAAGUCUGAUGUGAAAGCCCCCGGCUCAACCGGGGAGGGUCAUUGGAAACUGGGAGACUUGAGUGCAGAAGAGGAGAGUGGAAUUCCAUGUGUAGCGGUGAAAUGCGUAGAUAUAUGGGGGAACACCAGUGGCGAAGACGGCUCUCUGGUCUGUAACUGACGCUGAGGCUCGAAAGCGUGGGGAGCAAACAGG
rnacentral:rRNA from 1 species